ensembl:lncRNA
AACAUAUUGGUCGCAAGCUACAAGAAACUCAAUUAUCUUGUGGAGUGCUGGAAACGUCAAUGAAAUCUUGCUCAGCAGCCAUGGUUGGUGUGUUUCUUCUUGCGUAUAUCUCCGUGAAUUUAUUCCUUAAAUGUCAAGGUAUGUUCCAGUAAUGCGCUGAAUAAACUACUUGUAAAUGUGAUAUUGUACUUACCAGGAUUAAAAUGUCUCUAACUUCUUUCCAUCACAGGUCAAAAGAUUAAUCAAGCUAAGAUUUUCAGUGAAAAUGCUGAAGUACCAGAAGGUGGUAGACUGGAAGUUACUUGCAGCACAUUUGGUUUUACAGGAAAGGCAGUUUAUUUAUAUCUGUGUAAAAAUGGUAAAGCUAUUGAUAUGAAAAACAGACCCACUCAACAAGAUGUUGGCUUUAAAAUAGAGAAAAUAGAAAUGAACCAUGCAGGCAACUACAGCUGUGUGUUUUCAGAAGAGCAGUUGCAAAUAAACAAAGUGAUGGGAUAUGGUUAUAAUUACAUCUUCAUAAACGUGACUGAAUCUUUUAUUUACACACAGAUAUAUUUGCUUAAGUCUGAGGUGCCAGUGGGAAGUAAUGUUGAAUUCAACUGCAAAACAUUCAAUCCUUUACCCAAAAAACAGUCCAGGAACAUGAUCUUGGUUUAUCUAAUCAAAAAUGGAAAGCCUAUUAAAGUUAAUAUUUGGGACACAGAGAAGAUGAUGACAACAUUCACCCUCAGAGAAGUCCAGUUGGAAGAUGCUGGGACAUACAGUUGUGUUAUAUUGUUAAACAUACUCCCUUACCAUGGAAUGAGACUUCGUCAAAAUAUUAAAGCUUAUCUUCAGAUAAUUGCGACAUCUAACAGCAGCAUUGACAAAGUCAUAACUGUCAUAAUGAGAUCCAUAGUCAUAAUGUGUACCAUAGUUUUACUUCUCAGUCUGUUUCUGGGAAUCUGGGCACUGAUCCGAAAACAAGGUAGUAUUUUCUCUAGAUCUAAAAUCACUGACACAUUUCACUUUCUUGAAUUGUUCUGUUUAAAUCCUAAUACUCUUAUUUCUUUCUAAUAGGAUGCCUUGGAAUCCAAAAAAAUGAAAGGUUGGUUUGAGAAGUUACUAACUAGAAACUAAAGUAAAUAAGAAAUUAAAACAUACCAGAUAUUAGAUUUAGGACAAUUCUGAUGCAUUCUUAAUCAACAGAUCCUCGAAAAAUGAGACAGAGCUCAGAGGAACAGAAGCGUUAUAUGAAGGAUGUUGUUGUUUCUUGUUGGAUGAUUUCCUAUGAAAAACAGAAAGCUGCGGUAGGCUGUUGCUAUAGAUAACAACUGAGCUCAUGGACUUUAAUUAAUCAUUGUGUUAAUUAACUGUUAACUGUUGUUUAAUAACUUUCAUACAUUGCCGAGUCAACCUGAUCUCAUGAGAAAAUCGAACUACUUUACAAAGCAGAAGUAUCAUAUGAAUUCGUACAGUUUUUAGAAAAAAAAAGCACAUAAUAAAGGGAUAGUUUACCCAAAAAAAUGGCA